GACGAACGCUGGCGGCGUGCUUAACACAUGCAAGUCGAACGGAAAGGCCCUGCUUUUGUGGGGUGCUCGAGUGGCGAACGGGUGCGUAACACGUGAGUAACCUGCCCUUGACUUUGGUAUAACUUCAGGAAGCUGGGGCUAAUACCGUAUAGGAUCUCCUGCUGCAUGGUGGGGGUUGGAACGUUUCGGCGGUUGGGGAUGGACUCGCGGCUUAUGAGUUUGUUGGUGGGGUAGUGGCUGACCAAGGGUUUGACGGGUAGCCGGCCUGUGAGGGUGACCGGCGACAUGGGGACUGAGAGACGGACCAGAGUGCUACGGGAGGCAGCAGUGGGAAGUAUUGCACAAUGGGCGGGAGCGUGAGGAAGAAACGUCGCGUGCGGGAUGACGGCCUUCGGGUUGAAAACCGCUGUCGCCUGUGACGAAGCGGGAGUGACGGUAAUGGAUAAAGAAGCACCGGCUAACUACGUG
rnacentral:rRNA from 1 species